GACGAACGCUGGCGGCGUGCCUAAUACAUGCAAGUCGAGCGAGCGGCGGACGGGUGAGUAAUGUAUGGGGAUCUGCGCGAUAGAGGGGGAUAACUACUGGAAACGGUGGCUAAUACCGCAUACUAUCGGUUGAACCCAUAUGGGAUUAGCUAGUCGGUGGGGUAAAGGCUCACCAAGGCGACGAUAUCUAGCUGGUCUGCGAGGAUGAUCAGCCACACUGGGACUGAGACACGGCCCAGACUCCUACGGGAGGCAGCAGUGGGGAAUAUUGCACAAUGGGCGAAAGCCUGAUGCAGCCAUGCCGCGUGUAUGAAGACGGCCUUAGGGUUGUAAAGUACUUUCAGCGGGGAGGCGUUACCCGCAGAAGAAGCACCGGCUAACUCCGUGCCAGCAGCCGCGGUAAUUC
rnacentral:rRNA from 1 species